rnacentral:rRNA from 1 species
AUACGGAGGGUGCAAGCGUUAUCCGGAAUCAUUGGGUUUAAAGGGUCCGCAGGCGGACUGAUAAGUCAGUGGUGAAAUCCCGUAGCUUAACUACGGAACUGCCAUUGAAACUGUCAGUCUUGAAUUCGGUCGAAGUGGGCGGAAUGUGUCAUGUAGCGGUGAAAUGCAUAGAUAUGUCACAGAACACCGAUAGCGAAGGCAGCUCACUAGGCCUGAAUUGACGCUCAGGGACGAAAGCGUGGGGAGCGAACAGGAUUAGAAACCCUAGUAGUCC